rnacentral:rRNA from 1 species
CUUAAUUUGACUCAACGCGGGGAAACUCACCAGGUCCAGACAAAGUAGGGAUUGACAGAUUGAUAGCUCUUUCUUGAUUCUUUGGGUGGUGGUGCAUGGCCGUUCUUAGUUGGUGGAGUGAUUUGUCUGCUUAAUUGCGAUAACGAACGAGACCUUAACCUGCUAAAUAGCCCGACUAGCUUUUGCUGGUCGCUGGCUUCUUAGAGGGACUAUUGGCAUAAAGCCAAUGGAAGUUUGAGGCAAUAA